rnacentral:lncRNA from 1 species
AUGAUAUUUACAUAUUUAUUGAGAAAUAUAUUGGUUAUAAAUAAUGAGAAUUUUACAAAAGGAGAUAACAUUCACAAGUUCACCGCAGAUAGACAAUGACUAUACUCACUCAAAAAUAUUUUGUGUAAGAAUGGAAAACAAAAAUGAGCAUGAGUUGUCGUCUGAUCAUAUGAAAUCAAAUAAUGAACCUCCACAUGUGUGUUAUAUUAUUACAACAAUUUACUGUUCAUAAGUUUAUCAGAAUAACACGGAUACAGAUUACAUAUAUAUAUAUCAGUAGAUUGAAAAAAAAAAAACUAAAUACAAACCAAGUUAUUUGUGAAAAAAAUUGCCCCAAUAAUAUUUACCUUCCAUUCCAUAAUGUACGCCAUAUAAUACUCGAAAACACUUAAAAAAAAAAUAAACUCGAAUUUUUACGUUAACUCUGCACACAAAAAAAUACGUAAUCAAUCUUUCUGGUACUUGUUAAUCGUUUGAGACAUAUUGACCAGGUUAUGAAUACUGGUUCCUCCAAACUUUUUACAUAGUCUUUAUGUGCUGAUUCGGCGUACAGCAACACCAAUCAAUCAACGGGUGGAAUCAAUAUAUAACAUGAAACAUAAAGAGGACUUUUUAAAAUUUUUCUUGAACUUAUUGUCAAGAUCACAAACUCUACUAAGAUGUAAAUACUGGUCGAUUGAAAUUUUCAUGGUUGUUUUUACUAUUAAUUGAAAUAAAAACUUGAUAUAAAGUCAAAUAUCCUUAAAAUUAAUCUUUAUGCAUGUGUCAGCUUACAAAAUUAAUGAAUUUGAUAUGUUUUAUUCAUUCAUAACACUUUUCCUACUGAUCCAACAUUUUGUUAUUAUGAAUUAUAAUUAUUGCAUACGUCUGGCGUAUAUACUAGAUUUAGUCCUGGUAUCUAUGAUGUAUUUAUUUGUUAGAAGUCGUGUCAAAGUUUAUCAACAUAACCUUGUGAUUCGUUAUUUAUUGUCCUUUCAAAAUUGUAGGAUAAAUUUAACCAAUCUGUCGAUUAUUCUCUGCAACUUAAUCGGUUUCUCCUUGACAAUUACAUUAUUAAUGUAAGUUAAUAUUUUUUUGCUUUUGUUUUAUAUUUAAGACAAAGAUUAAAUACACACACGUUUGUUGCAAAGUUAAACAUUUAAAAAAUGUAAAAAAUAAUAAAAAAACAAAAUCUGCAUUUUGUUUUUCAGAAUAUUCAAUUGCAUCCUGUCUUAUGUUAGGUUAUUUAUUUUCAUAGCUUUCCAGACCAGCAAAUAAUUUGCAGACACGUAUGGGACUUUUGAUGUUACUUACGCCGAGGAACUAUGUGUAAUUGAGCUAUAUUUAAGAAUAGAAAAUUAGAAAAGUUUGUUGAUAUUCAAAUGAUUAACCUUAUCAAAAGGUUCAAAUAUACAUAGUAACAUAAUCAAACGAACAAAUGACGAAGAAUACAAGUUUUGUCGAAUGCGUGAAUAUUAUUUCCCUAUGACAUAGAACUUAAACAUAUUGUUCACUACAUAUCAAAGCAAGUUUACGGAAAUGAAAAACCGAGUUGAUAAAACAUUUGUGAUGCUGAUAAUUUACAUUUUUUUAGUUUAAAUUUUCUUACUUAUUUUUGAAUUCCUCUUCGUUUAGUGCAUGCAGUGACUACUUUAAGAAAACAUAUAUACAUUAUAAAAUUCAAGUAAAAUAAACGCAUAGUAUGAUAUAGUUCAUCUGUAUAGAUAUAUAAGAGCUAAAGCAUAGGACAGAGUUGAUAUCAACUCAAACAAAAAUGAAUCAAUGAGUUUUAGAAUAACAGCUGAAAUGUGUUAAUAAUUUGAUUUUGGAUGUAACGCGUCUUCUGAUUGGCUGACGUUAUUUUGUUAUCAGCCCAUAUACACAAUUUAGUCAUGUGACCGUGACGUCAUCAACGUUUUUUCAUGGUUUUCGUCGGUUUAAAAUGGAAUUUAGAAUAAAAUUAUAACAAAUGACUGUAACAUUUUUUCUGUCUAUUCGAAAUAACAUAAACAUUGUGGUGCACACUGUUAAAUAACCCGCUACGCAAUUAAAUUCCAGUAAAAGGCUUGACGUGGCAUGAAGUUAUACCUCAAUUCAAGAUAAAACAUCCCGCAAAUGAGAAAUACUUACUCACGAGCUAACAGCAUAACUAAAACCCUUAUAACGUAUUUGCAUGCAUUUUAAUCGGUAUGAACAAAUAUUGAAUGAUGCGAAUUAGACGAAUAUCUUAUAUAACCCAUUGAAAAUGACAUAUAACAGUAACAUCAGCUCUACCAUUGAUAUCCAAAAGUAUAUUCAGAAAAUAAUGAUAUUGAUUGGCAACAAUGCUCGUAAUACAGACUCCAAAAGUCAAACAAACUUUGUUAAAGCAAAUAGAUAAACAAACUUGGUUAAAGCAAAUAAAUAAACAAACUUUGUUAAAGCAAAUAAAUAAACAAAAAAUAAAUAAACAAAUUUGGUUAAAGCAAAUAAAUAAACAAACUUUGUUAAAGCAAAUAAAUAAACAAACUUGGUUAAAGCAAAUAAAUAAACACACUUGGUUAAAGCAAAUAAAUAAACAGACUUUGUUAAAGCAAAUAAAUAAACAAACUUGGUUAAAGCAAAUACAUAAACAAACUUGAUUAAAGCAAAUAGAUAAACAAACUUGGUUAAAGCAAAUAAAUAAGCAAACUUUGUUAAAGCAAA